GCAGCGCAAGAAACACUGUCAUAGAGCAAAAACAUCGAUCUUCAGAUUCAGAACAAAAGCUAAGAACCAAACGAAGUCCUUUUAAAGACGUUUUAUCGUAGAAAUAGAAGGUUUAACCAUCCUUACUGCUUUAUAAUGCAUGCAAGUGGGCAAGCUUUAAGCGGAAACGUAGGCUACUUACAGUGAUGAUCCUAGCAAUGGAUGGGACAGAGCACCUGACAAGCCAAUGUCAAAAGAGACCUCUGUGUUAAGUGGAAAUUGCUAGACCCACAACAGUUACAGACAAGAAUAAGAACAACGAGUGUGCAAAGUAUGAGACAUGUUUGGACUGUUAAACCCAAUCCAACAGAAACAGAGCUCUGGACAUGUGGACAGACAAUGACUGUAAAGAUGGACAUCUGCUGAUGCACAGCAAAUUUUAUUUUUUUAGGCCAAAAGCAUAACCCCUUCUGGACAUCGUGCUGGAGCUCAGGGGGGGGACCCCACGAUCCCCCACACCUUCUCACUCACACCAUUCAUUCAUAUCGCAGAGAUCUGGCUGGACUCAAACCAGCAACCUCUGAACCAUGAGGCAGUGCUCUUACCACUGAGCCACAGAUCUCUUGUACAAACAUGUGCAGGAAUUUAUAUUUCACGAUUUACAUGUAUGUCACUUGGGAUUUUACAAUAAACCAAUUAAAGUUACAAGCAAACACUGAGCCAGGGUUUGAAACCAUGACUCCAUCGCAACCAUGUCCAUAACUAACAUGUGUUUUGCCACUGCACCAUCACGGCUUUCAUGCUGAAUGGUGGCAUUUGGGGCACUUUGUUGGAUAUAAUGACAUCAUAAUCAAUUUAGCCUAUGCAAGAGUGGGAGUUGAACCCAUAAUUUCAUUGCAACCUUGUCCACAACGAACAUGUAUUCAGCCACUGUACCAUUGUGGCUUUCACGCCACAAAAUGGCACUUAGGACACUUUGCUGAAUAUAAUGACAACAACUUAAUGUAUGCAAGAGUCAGAUUUGAACCCAUAUCAUCACAACCUUGUCUGCAAGUUAGUACGUUUAAGCCACUGCGCUAUCAUGGAUUUCACAACAAGAAAUGCCAUUUGAACACUUUGUUAUUUUAAACUCAAUUUUAAUACAUUUAUUAGAAAACAAUGCAUUUGUACUGUAAAACAAGUAAAAGAUAGUAAGAAAAUAUUUUUUUGCAUUACGGGUGGUUGUCACUCUAUGCUAGACAUACACUGUACCAUAUCUGACUCUAGGUUCAGGGUGAAUAAGACUAGAGUGAGUCGAAGCUGUUGUUGU